GGCUUGAGGCUCCUUGCCUGAGUGUUACCACGCAUUGAGCAUCUUCAUCCCUGGGGUGUUUAACAGAGGCAAUUGUUUGUCCUCAGGGAUCUUGGUCUGGUGCAGGCUGAGGAGCAGCCGGGACGAUCUCUCCAGGUAGUUGCUGAAAAUUUAGCACUGGAAAAGCCAGUCCUUCAUGGUCCUCAGCGUUAUCCCUAUGGAGAUGCCUCUUGGGAGAGUGGAAGUGCAUCCAGGAGAGGGUGAAAUCAUGUCCCGUGGUGGGAGUGAUUGCUGUGCUUGCAAGCAUCCAGGACAGCCAAAUGUUA